CCUACGGGAGGCAGCAGUGGGGAAUAUUGCACAAUGGGCGGAAGCCUGAUGCAGCAACGCCGCGUGCGGGAUGACGGCCUUCGGGUUGUAAACCGCUUUCGCCUGUGACGAAGCGUGAGUGACGGUAAUGGGUAAAGAAGCACCGGCUAACUACGUGCCAGCAGCCGCGGUGAUACGUAGGGUGCGAGCGUUGUCCGGAUUUAUUGGGCGUAAAGGGCUCGUAGGUGGUUGAUCGCGUCGGAAGUGUAAUCUUGGGGCUUAACCCUGAGCGUGCUUUCGAUACGGGUUGACUUGAGGAAGGUAGGGGAGAAUGGAAUUCCUGGUGGAGCGGUGGAAUGCGCAGAUAUCAGGAGGAACACCAGUGGCGAAGGCGGUUCUCUGGGCCUUUCCUGACGCUGAGGAGCGAAAGCGUGGGGAGCGAACAGGCUUAGAUACCCUGGUAGUCCACGCUGUAAACGGUGGGUACUAGGUGUGGGGUCCAUUCCACGGGUUCCGUGCCGUAGCUAACGCUUUAAGUACCCCGCCUGGGGAGUACGGCCGCAAGGCUAAAACUCAAAUGAAUUGACGG
rnacentral:rRNA from 1 species